rnacentral:rRNA from 1 species
UACGGAGGGUGCAACCGUUGCUCGGAAUCAUUGGGCGUAAAGCGCACGUAGGCGGCCUGUUAAGUCAGGGGUGAAAUCCUGGAGCUCAACUCCAGAACUGCCUUUGAUACUGAGGAUCUUGAGUUCGGGAGAGGUGAGUGGAACUGCGAGUGUAGAGGUGAAAUUCGUAGAUAUUCGCAAGAACACCAGUGGCGAAGGCGGCUCACUGGCCCGAUACUGACGCUGAGGCACGAAAGCGUGGGGAGCAAACAGG